CCCCAGGGGGGAAUGCAGUUCUCAGGCCCCGUUGCACUGGGACUGGUAAUGGUGCUGUUACCACCUUUAGGUCUGAAAGGUUGAGGGGGAGGAGUGGUAAAUGGAACCAGGAGAUGGGCUAUAUAGAAAGGGUGUGAGGUUGUGGAAGGCACCAGGAAUAAAUACAUAACAGGAGCACAAUACAUAUUUAUUGGUUAUAAUUUUGUAGUUUCAGAAGUCGUUCACAGAGUUGAGUUUAUGCUAUUGGUCUUGAUGCAUAUCAAGAAUUUAAAAUAUAUUUAAACUUGAAAGGGCAGUACAAGAGUAUAGCCUCUCCCUAGAUCCACCAGUUGUUAACAUUUUACCACAUGUAUUUUAUCUAAUUUGUCUUGCUGAAUCAUUUGAAAGUAAGUUGUGACAAAACGGCACUUCCUCCCUGUAUACUUAUUCAUCUCCUGUAUUCAUCUCCUUGGAAUAAGAAUUUUAUACAUGAAGCCACAAUGCCAUUGCUCCACCAGAGACAAUUAACAAUAAAUGAAUAACAUCUAACAUAGAUUUGUAGGAGAUAAAUUGCCCCUGUUGUUCCAGAAUAUCUUAUUAAACUUUUUCCUCAUCCAGGAUCUAGCCAAUGAGGUUUUUGUAUACAUUUUAAUCUGCUAAGUCCUCUGCGUUCCCCCCGCCCCCCACCACGACAUUGAACUUUUUGAAGUGUCCAAAUCCAUUUUACAAUGUCCCAUAUCCUGGAUAUUUUUCUGACUUUUUUAGUAGAUUUGGGUUAUACUUUUUGGUAGGAGUAUAACAGGCUGUCUCUUAUUCCCAUCUGACUCUG